GCACUCUUAGCUCAAUAGGUAGAGCGCUCCGCAAGGUGGGGAGAGUGUAGGUUCGAGGCCUACAGAGUGCA
rnacentral:tRNA from 1 species